AUAUCUUUUCUUUGACAUAUCAUUUACAUUUGGUUGGUAAUUAUAAUCACCAACCAAAUGUAAAUGAUAUGUGAAAGAAAAGAUAU
rfam:Lingula anatina scaffold682, whole genome shotgun sequence.